rnacentral:rRNA from 1 species
GACGUAGGGCGCGAGCGUUGUCCGGAUUUACUGGGCGUAAAGCGCACGUAGGCGGACUUGUAAGUAGGGGGUGAAAUCCCCGGGCUCAACCCGGGAACUGCCUUCUAGACUGCAAGCCUGGAGGUCAGGAGAGGCGAGUGGAAUACCGAGUGUAGAGGUGAAAUUCGUAGAUAUUCGGUGGAACACCGGUGGCGAAGGCGGGUCUCUGGGCCGAUACUGACGCUGAGGAGCGAAAGCGUGGGGAGCGAACAGG